rnacentral:rRNA from 1 species
UACACACCGCCCGUCACACCAUGGGAGUGGGUUCCACCAGAAGCCGGUUGCCUAACCGCAAGGGAGGCGCCGACCACGGUGAGAUUCAUGACUGGGGUG